rnacentral:rRNA from 1 species
GAUGAACGCUAGCGGCAGGCCUAACACAUGCAAGUCGAGGGGUAACAUAGGAAAGUUUGCUUUUCUGAUGACGACCGGCGCACGGGUGCGUAACGCGUAUACAACCUACCUUUUAGCGGGGAAUAGCCCAGGGAAACUUGGAUUAAUGCCCCAUAGUAUAUAGACUUCUCCUGAAGUUUAUAUUAAACAUUUAUGGCUAUUAGAUGGGUAUGCGUCCUAUUAGUUAGUUGGUAAGGUAACGGCUUACCAAGGCAGCGAUAGGUAGGGGUCCUGAGAGGGAGAUCCCCACACUGGUACUGAGACACGGACCAGACUCCUACGGGAGGCAGCAGUGAGGAAUAUUGGACAAUGGGCGAGAGCCUGAUCCAGCCAUGCCGCGUGCAGGAAGACUGCCCUAUGGGUUGUAAACUGCUUUUACAGAGGAAGAACCACCCCCACGUGUGGGGGUUUGACGGUACUCUGCGAAUAAGGAUCGGCUAACUCCGUG